rnacentral:rRNA from 1 species
GCGUAACGCGUGGGAAUCUGCCUGGUAGUGGGGGAUAACUCGGGGAAACUCGAGCUAAUACCGCAUAAAGCGGGGGACCUUCGGGCCUCGCGCUAUCAGAUGAGCCUGCGUCGGAUUAGCUAGUUGGUGGGGUAAUGGCCUACCAAGGCGACGAUCCGUAGCUGGUCUGAGAGGAUGAUCAGCCACACUGGGACUGAGACACGGCCCAGACUCCUACGGGAGGCAGCAGUGGGGAAUAUUGGACAAUGGGCGAAAGCCUGAUCCAGCAAUGCCGCGUGAGUGAUGAAGGCCUUAGGGUUGUAA